GCUCGUUAGCUUAGUUGGUAAAGCGCUCGUCUAGCAUACAAGAGUCCUGGGUUCAAAUGCUAGCCGAGCA
rnacentral:tRNA from 1 species